UACGUAGGGUCCGAGCGUUGUCCGGAAUUAUUGGGCGUAAAGGGCUCGUAGGCGGUUCGUCACGUCGGGAGUGAAAACUCGGAGCUUAACUCCGAGCCUGCUUCCGAUACGGGCAGACUAGAGGUAGGCAGGGGAGAGCGGAACUCCUGGUGUAGCGGUGGAAUGCGCAGAUAUCAGGAAGAACACCCGUGGCGAAGGCGGCUCUCUGGAACGCAACUGACGCUGAGACGCGAAAGCGUGGGGAGCAAACAGG
rnacentral:rRNA from 1 species